UACAUUAAAUUAAAUAUUUUAUUUCAUAGUCACCCUGUAACUCUUGAACCACGUAAACGCGAGAAAGAAGAUCCUUGGUUACAAAUUGACGUUAUCCUCAUAGCAAUUUUAUUAGCAUUAUUAGGAACUUUGUUAACACUUAUAUGCGCCACGGUUAUACAAAGAAUCAGACAUAAAAUCAAAUACAAGAAAGUAAAGCAGCAGGAAAACGAGAAUGUAAAACAAGCGAAUAAAAAAAAAACAAGGAAGAAAUACACCGAAAGCAGUACUAGCGGAACUACUGAUUAUAUAUAUUUAGAAAGCGAUUCGGACACGGAUGUAUAAAAGAAUGUUUAUUUGUAAUCUCAGGAAUAUUUUUAAAAACAGGAUAUCAAUCGUUUUAUCCCAAGCAGCUUCCACUUCGAUGGUAAAUUUCGAUUUCAACGUGUUCUUCAUUACUUCCAUUAUCACUCCUUUUAUAUCCUGAAAUGUAAGAUAAAAAUAAUAUACAACAAGCAUGAAAGAGAAUAAUUGUAUGAGUAUAUAACGUUAUAUAGAUAAAAUGUUGAAAAAAAGCUUAUCGUACACAUUAAUCGUGUUAAAUGAAUUUGUUAAAUGUUAACGAAAAAAAAAAAAAAUUUGUAAAAUUUACUGACACAAUCAUUAUCUUACAAUAUUUAUUUUGAAGAAUAAUUAUCGAUGUUGAAAUGUUAUCGUUAUUUUCCAUCUCGAGAUCAUCGUUGUUGACCUUAUUAUAGAUUAUAAGAUUCAUUAAAUAUCUCGAACAACAACCAUAUUACGUAUUACAUUUUAUAAUUAAGAUAUAUCGAAACAUGGCUGGUAUUUUAUUAAUAAAUAGAAAAAUAUAGAAAUUCUAUACUAUAAUGUUAAUGGUCGAUAUUGAA